rnacentral:rRNA from 1 species
UACGAAGGGGGCUAGCGUUGCUCGGAAUGACUGGGCGUAAAGGGCGCGUAGGCGGUUUGUACAGUCAGGUGUGAAAUCCCCCGGCUUAACCUGGGAACUGCGUCUGAUACUGGGAGGCUUGAGUAUGGGAGAGGGAUGUAGAAUUCCAGGUGUAGCGGUGAAAAUGCGUAGAUAUCUGGAGGAAUACCGGUGGCGAAGGCGGCAUCCUGGACCCGGCAUUGACGCUGAUGCGCGAAAAGCCAGGGGAGCGAACGGG